rnacentral:rRNA from 1 species
CCUACGGGAGGCUGCAGUGGGGAAUAUUGCACAAUGGGGGGAACACUGAUGCAGCGACGCCGCGUGGGUGAAGGAGUACUUCGGUACGUAAAGCCCUAUCAGCAGGAAAGAAAAUGACGGUACGUGACUAAGAAGCACUGGCUAACUACGUGCCAGCAGCCGUGGUAAUACGUAGGGGGCAAGCGUUAUCCGGAUUUACUGGGUGUAAAGGGAGCGUAGAGGGCAGUGCAAGUCCGGAGUGAAAGCCCGGGGGUCAACCCUGGGACUGCUCUGGAAACUGUAAGGCUGGAGUGCGGGAGGGGCAGGCGGAAUUCCUGGUGUAGCGGUGAAAUGCAUAGAUAUCAGGAAGAACACCGGCUGCGAAGGCAGCCUGCUGGACCGUAACUGACGUUGAGGCACGAAAGCGUGGGGAGCAAACAGGAUUAGAUACCCGAGUAGUC